UACAGAGGGUGCAAGCGUUGUUCGGAAUUAUUAGGCGUAAAGCGCGUGUAGGCGGGAUGGCAAGUCGGGUGUGAAAGCCCUCAGCUCAACUGAGGAAGUGCGCCCGAAACUACCGUUCUUGAGUGUCGGAGAGGGUGGCGGAAUUCCCGGUGUAGAGGUGAAAUUCGUAGAUAUCUGGAGGAACACCGGUGGCGAAGGCGGCAUCCUGGACCGGUAUUGACGCUGAGGCGCGAAAGCCAGGGGAGCAAACGGG
rnacentral:rRNA from 1 species